GGGCUCACUUCAGCAGCACAUAUACUAAAAUUGGAACACAUAGAGAUUAGCAUGGCCCCUGCACAAGGAUGACACGCAAAUUCGUGAAGCGUUCCGUAUUUUU